ACCUUCAGAGCACCUAGACUUCCUUACUGUGAAGCACAGUGGGAAGUUUUUGAGUGGUUUCUGAGAUGCAGGGCGACGCUAACUCUUUUUGUUUGAGGGAAAGUGAUGUUUCUACUUAAAGAUCAGCUUUUUCCCCAAUGCUCGGAUAGUCACCGACGGGUUUUUACGAGAAAAACGCACUUAUAAGAACCGGCUGGGUGAACAUAUGAACGCCAGAGUUCAGACCCAAAGCCCGCCUUUAACUCUUGCCUUAAAACAGGCAGCGGAGGCUCAGCCGGAGGGAUUUUCUUUGCGUGACUCCCCUAGGCGCAGAGGCAAGCAGGGGAUGGAUCUUCUCCUGACGCAUCCGAGUUCCGCAUCCGACUCAUCCCGACAGGUCCCUGUCGUCACCUCGCUAUGGAUUGCUGCUGUGCCUUGCCGCUAGGAAGAUGCGUGCGGUUAAAUGAUGUCAUCUCGGGCUCCUGCUGCAGCUUUCCAAAACGUUUGCAUCGGGUUAUAGAACCAGGGAAGAAAAGGUCCGUGUGGCCAGAGCUGCUGCAAAACAUGAAACACAAUUCAUGGGCGUCUGUCACCUGCCAAAUAAAGAAGAUGGAACAGCCUGUCCACAAACCCGACAAGUACACUAGAUCUCCGCUACAUCACGAGCGUUUGGUUGAAGAUAUGCAUUCAGGUGUCUCUUCCACGGACAGAACACGGCUCACCCCCUGGAGAAAAGCAUUACUGCAGUGUACUGUAUUUCACAAGCGGUGGUAUAUUCAGUAAGAGCAUAAGAAUUCACACUGUGGAAAUGGGCUUCACAAUCAGUGUGCCCCGUGAGCCACCUCCUGGGCAUGACGGGCGAUGCUGGGAAGGCCCUUCCAGUAGAAGGUGAAGACAACAUCUUUGACGACGCCCACUGAAAU